AUUCCAGCUCCAAUAGCGUAUAUUAAAGUUGUUGCGGUAGAAAAGCUCGUAGUUGGAUUUCUGUUGAGGGCGACCGGUCCAUACAACGUAUGCGUAUCUGGCUCGGCCUCGGCAUCCUCUCGAUAGACGUUUCUGCGCUUGAUUGCGUGGAGCGGAUCUCGGGACUUUUACCUUGAGGAAAUUAGAGUGUUCACGGCAGGCUAUCGCCAGAAUACAUUAGCAUGGAAUAAUACUACAGGAUCUUGAUUCUAUUUUGUUGGUUUCUAGAAUUGAGAUAAUGAUUAAUAGGGACAAUUGGGGGCAUUCGUAUCAACACGUCAGAGGUGGAAUUCUUGGAUUGUGUUGCGACGAACUACUGCGAAAGCAUUUGCCAAGGAUGUUUCCAUUA
rnacentral:rRNA from 1 species